rnacentral:rRNA from 1 species
CAGUCGCCGCGGUAAUACGUAGGUGGCAAGCGUUGUCCGGAAUUAUUGGGCGUAAAGGGCUCGCAGGCGGUUUCUUAAGUCUGAUGUGAAAGCCCCCGGCUCAACCGGGGAGGGUCAUUGGAAACUGGGAAACUUGAGUGCAGAAGAGGAGAGUGGAAUUCCACGUGUAGCGGUGAAAUGCGUAGAGAUGUGGUGGAACACCAGUGGCGAAGGCGACUCUCUGGUCUGUAACUGACGCUGAGGAGCGAAAGCGUGGGGAGCGAACAGGAUUAGAUACCCCUGUAGUCCCUGUCUCUUAUAC